GAUGAAGAACGUAGCGAAAUGCGAUAAGUAAUGUGAAUUGCAGAAUCCAGUGAAUCAUCGAAUCUUUGAACGCACAUUGCGCCCGCCAGCAUUCUGGCGGGCAUGCCUGUUCGAGCGUCAUUUCAACCAUCGACCUCCCCUUGGGGAGGUCGGCGUUGGGGACCGGCAGCACACCGCCGGCCCUGAAAUGGAGUGGCGGCCCGUCUGCGGCGACCUCUGCGUAGUCAUACAGCUCGCACCGGAACCCCGACGCGGCCACGCCGUAAAACACCCAACUUCUGAACGUUGACCUCGAAUCAGGUAGGACUACCCGCUGAACUUAAGCAUAUCAAUAAGCGGAGGA
rnacentral:misc_RNA from 1 species